GCCAGGAAUGGUGGCUCAUUCCUGUAAUCCCAGCACUUUAGGAGGCUGAGGCAGGCGGAUCACCUGAGGUCAGGAGUUUGAGACCAGCCUGGCCAACAUGGUGAAACCCUGUCUCUA
rnacentral:SRP_RNA from 1 species